rnacentral:rRNA from 1 species
UACGAAGGGGGCUAGCGUUGCUCGGAAUCACUGGGCGUAAAGCGCACGUAGGCGGCUUUUUAAGUCAGAGGUGAAAUCCUGGAGCUCAACUCCAGAACUGCCUUUGAUACUGAGAAGCUUGAGUUCCGGGAGAGGUGAGUGGAACUGCGAGUGUAGAGGUGAAAUUCGUAGAUAUUCGCAAGAACACCAGUGGCGAAGGCGGCUCACUGGCCCGGUACUGACGCUGAGGUGCG